rnacentral:tRNA from 1 species
AGUUAAUUAGCUUAAAGCAAUGUAACUUGAAAUUACAAGAAAGUAAUAAUUUACUAUUAACUU